CUGCCUCCGCCUCCUAAGUGCUGGGAUUAAAGGCGUGCGCCACCACCGCCCAGUUUGCUUGCUUGUUUGUUUUUGAUUUUCAACACAGGGGUUCUCUAUAUGACCCUGGCCUGGCCAUCUUGCAACUUAUAGACCAGGCUGGCCUCAAACACAGAUUCACCUGCCUCUGUCUCCUGAGUGCUGGGAUUAAAGGCCUGUGUCACCACUGAUUGGCUCCAUCAAUGAGUUCUUAUGACCCAUAAUUUAUUAUCCCAUAACUGUAGCUAGCCAUGUUAAUCAUGCUCUUCUUAAAAAGUAGAAGGAUAAGGGAUAAGUAGAAGGAUAAGGAUAAGUCUAGUCUUGUGUAGUCAUUAUAUCUUCAUUUAAUUCCGAUGAUAGUCUCGUGAGGAUGGCAUCCAGCACCAUUUCUCAGAUUUGGAAGUUUGUUAACUCUAAUAAUGCACUUAAUUUUAGAGCUAUAACUUUUCAGAGCUAUAUUUAUCCAUUCCGGUUUAGCCAGUUAUUUUAUGUGAUUUGAAAUUAAUCCUGUAUUUUGGUUGGCAUAAAAUGAAUGAAAAAAAUCAUUGAAAUUAAAUGUGCAUGAUAAAUUUUUAUAUAUAUUAUAUGUUCAAUGAAAGAAGAAAUGUCGAUAUUUUGAGGUAUAACCAAGAAAGAAAAAAAGGCAUUUUUUCUUCAGUUAUGGUUUUUGGAUGUUUUGAUUUUGUUCUGUUUUGUUUUGGUUUUUGGAGACCAGGUGACAUCACUUUGCCCUUGGAUGCCCUAGAACUUUCUUUGAAGACUAGGCUGGCCUCCAGCUCACCAAGGUCUGCCUGCCUUGGCUUUCCUUUCUGCUGGAGUUAAAGGCCUGCAUCACCAAACUCAACUCACUUAUGUAUUUUAUACCUCUAGUAAUUGAAUUAAAAGUUCACGGAGAAGGAAAGAUUAUAACAUUUUAAAAAUAUUUUUUGUCUUUCAGAUAAAAUCAAAGACAAAAUUAAAGAGAAAGGCAAAGAAAGAGAGAGAGAAAGAAGCAUAAAGUAAUGAGUGAGAUCAAAAAAGAAAAUGGAGAUGUAAAGAUUUUACUGAAAGGUGGGAAGGAGAAACCAAAAACAAAUAUAGAAGACUUACAAAUUAAAAAAGUAAAGAAGAAAAAGAAAAAAAAAACACAAAGAGAAUAAAAAACGGAAGCGUCCAAAAAUGUAUAGCAAAUCUAUUCAGACCAUCUGUUCAGGAUUGCUCUCUGCUGAAGAUCCAGAAGUCAAAGGCAUCUUAAGUGAUAAUGGAAAGGAUUGCAUUGGAAAAAAUUUGGAUACCAAAAACUGUGAUUCAAAAAUUCCUGAUAACAGUGACUUU